GUAGUUGUGGCCGAGUGGUUAAAGCGAUAGACUUGGAUUCUAUUUCUCUCUGGCGAAAUGACGUCUGUCAAUGGCGAAAAUCUUCAGAAAAUGACGAAAAAUUUUAAAGAUUUUCAAUUGCC
rnacentral:tRNA from 1 species